rnacentral:rRNA from 1 species
UGGCGGCAGGCCUAACACAUGCAAGUCGAGCGGUAACAGAAAGNAGCUUGCUNCUUUGCUGACGAGCGGCGGACGGGUGAGUAAUGCUUGGGAACAUGCCUUGAGGUGGGGGACAACAGUUGGAAACGACUGCUAAUACCGCAUAAUGUCUACGGACCAAAGGGGGCUUCGGCUCUCGCCUUUAGAUUGGCCCAAGUGGGAUUAGCUAGUUGGUGAGGUAAUGGCUCACCAAGGCAACGAUCCCUAGCUGGUUUGAGAGGAUGAUCAGCCACACUGGGACUGAGACACGGCCCAGACUCCUACGGGAGGCAGCAGUGGGGAAUAUUGCACAAUGGGCGCAAGCCUGAUGCAGCCAUGCCGCGUGUGUGAAGAAGGCCUUCGGGUUGUAAAGCACUUUCAGUCAGGAGGAAAGGUUAGUAGUUAAUACCUGCUAGCUGUGACGUUACUGACAGAAGAAGCACCGGCUAACUCCGUGCCAGCAGCCGCGGUAAUACGGAGGGUGCGAGCGUUAAUCGGAAUUACUGGGCGUAAAGCGUACGCANGCGGUUUGUUAAGCGAGAUGUGAAACCCCGGGCUCAACCUGGGAACUGCAUUUCGAACUGGCAAACUAGAAUGUGAUANAAGGUGGUAGAAUUUCANGUGUAGCGGUGAAAUCG